rnacentral:lncRNA from 1 species
ACCAAGCCAAUCUCGAUUAAAAAAAGAAAACUUAUUGCAACUACGAACGUGAACAGAUGCUUUCUCAUUAGACUAUUUUAACCGAUUGUUUAUGUCUUGGCAUUGAAACCUCCAGAAUCAAACAACUAAGGCAAAAAAAAUUGAGAUAAGCAGAAAUAAAAACAAAUUAUUAUUAAAAACAUAGCUAAAUUAUUGGAUUAAUGAAAAAUUGAUUUGAUUAACCUAAACAUAUGAGAUUAACUAAUGAAUAGGCGAUUAACGAUUAAACUAAAUAUACUAUCAACAAAACUAAGGAUUAAACACAAAAUAUUUCAAGAUUAAGAAAAAUAAAAGAAAAUAAAUAAAUAAAAACAAGAAAUAAAAUAGCAACAAAGGCAUGAAUAUUACCUAAAAAUAAGAAGAAAAUUAGAGCAAAGAGACUCCCCACGAGGCUGGCUGAAAUUCGAUGAGUUAAUCAAAAUCCGAUAACCUCGUAAAGAAUCAAAACGAACGUCAAUUGAUUGCUCUCGUUAAGAUCAAUAUAUUA